rnacentral:rRNA from 1 species
AUUGAACGCUGGCGGCAUGCUUUACACAUGCAAGUCGAACGGUAACAGGCCGCAAGGUGCUGACGAGUGGCGGACGGGUGAGUAAUGCAUCGGAACGUGCCCAGUCGUGGGGGAUAACUACUCGAAAGAGUAGCUAAUACCGCAUACGAUCUAUGGAUGAAAGCGGGGGACCGUAAGGCCUCGCGCGAUUGGAGCGGCCGAUGUCAGAUUAGGUAGUUGGUGGGGUAAAGGCUCACCAAGCCAACGAUCUGUAGCUGGUCUGAGAGGACGACCAGCCACACGGGGACUGAGACACGGCCCAGACUCCUACGGGAGGCAGCAGUGGGGAAUGUUGGACAAUGGGCGCAAGCCUGAUCCAGCAAUGCCGCGUGCAGGAAGAAGGCCUUCGGGUUGUAAACUGCUUUUGUACGGAACGAAACGGCUCUGGUUAAUACCCGGGGCUAAUGACGGUACCGGAAGAAUAAGCACCGGCUAACUACGUG